GGGGCUAUGGCUCAGUGGCAGAGCGUCUGCUUGGAAUGCAGAAGGUCCCGGGUUGAAUCCUCGGCAUCUCCA